CUUCGAAAUCUACAAUGAGCGUACCAGCCAAAACAGAGGGAGAGAUGAGAAGAAGUAAAUGCGUGAGACAGCCAUCUAAGAGAAUGUUGUUGUAUUCUCAGGACACAGAUUCAGAUUCAAGUCUACAGAAGAGUUAAGGAAAACGUCCUGCCAGAAAGAUCCAGAAAGUUGAUACAUUAGCAACAAUAACUAAGUGGUGCUCUUGUCACAGAUGCCCACAAUACGAGAGAGUGGAAGAUCGAGUUUGCUGUGGGAUGGUCCCAGAAUUAUGCUCAAGUCACAGACCUGAGAUGACUCUUUCGGUGCUGGAUAGGAUGACCCUCUACAGUCAGCAGCAGUAUCAACAAGAUGUGUUUUCCUUUUAUGCAGAGACACUAGAAGAUGUCAAUAAAUCUUUCAGACAUGCUGCAUACAGACAAUUUACCAUCUUAAUGCAUGAGAAUAACUGUCCCAGCAUGUUGUGUUAAAUUAAUAAGGGAGAAGUUUCCUAGUCCUUAAGGCCAGUAUACAGGCUUCGUACCAGGUGAAGGCCCAGUGUUCUAAUAAUUUUGCAUAUUUAUUCCCCCCUUCGAAGAAGAGGGGGUAUAUAGUUUUGCACAUGUCGGUCCGUCCACCAGAUGGUUUCGGGAUGAUAACUUAAGAACGCUUAGGCCUAGGAUCAUGAAACUUCAUAGGUACAUUGAUCAUGACUGGCAAAUAACCCCUAUUGAUUUUCAGGUCACUAGGUCAAAGGUCAGUGACUCGAAACAGUAAAGCGGUUUCCGGAUGAUAACUCAAGAAUGCAUACGCCUAGGAUCUUGAAACUUCAUAGGUACAUUGAUCACGACUGGCAGAGGACCCCUUUAGAUUUUCCGGUCACAAGGUCAAGGUCACAGUGACUCAAAACAAUAAAAUGGGUUCCAGCUGAUAACUCAAGAAUGCAUACGCCUUUUGAUCAUGAAACUUCAUAGCUACAUUGAUAAUGACUGGCAGAUGACCCCUUUUGAUUUUCAGGUCACUAGGUCAAGGUCACAGUGACUCGAAAUAGUAAAAUGGUUUCCUGAUGAUAACUCAAGAAUAAUUAGGCCUAGGAUCAGGAAACUUCAUAGGUACAUUGAUCAUGACUGACAGAUGACCCCUAUUAAUUUUCAGGUCACUAUGUCAAAGGUCAAGGUCACAGUGACAAAAAACGUAUUCACACAAUAGCUGCCACUACAACUGACAGCCCAUAUGGGGGGCAUGCAUGUUUUACAAACAGCCCUUGUUGCUAUUCUUUUUCAUUUAUCAGACAUAGAACUUUUCUAAGUUUUGA